rnacentral:rRNA from 1 species
GUGGGGAAUAUUGGACAAUGGGGGGAACCCUGAUCCAGCCAUGCCGCGUGUGUGAAGAAGGCCUUUUGGUUGUAAAGCACUUUAAGCGAGGAGGAGGCUACCGAGAUUAAUACUCUUGGAUAGUGGACGUUACUCGCAGAAUAAGCACCGGCUAACUCUGUGCCAGCAGCCGCGGUAAUACAGAGGGUGCAAGCGUUAAUCGGAUUUACUGGGCGUAAAGCGCGCGUAGGUGGCCAAUUAAGUCAAAUGUGAAAUCCCCGAGCUUAACUUGGGAAUUGCAUUCGAUACUGGUUGGCUAGAGUAUGGGAGAGGAUGGUAGAAUUCCAGGUGUAGCGGUGAAAUGCGUAGAGAUCUGGAGGAAUACCGAUGGCGGAGGCAGCCAUCUGGCCUAAUACUGACACUGAGGUGCGAAAGCAUGGGGAGCAAACAGGAUUAGAAACCCGUGUAGUCC